ensembl:lncRNA
GUAAAAUUUCAUCAAAAAUCUCUGAUGAACACCUUGAGAGCUGAAUUGCAGCUGCUGCCAUUGAACUGGCCUGAUGCACCAGCUUCACAAAAACAAGGUCACACAAUUUACACGAACUGAAGAUAUGGACCGUUAUUUCUUCAUGCCUUCUCUAUCAAUGACUCCAGUUUUUCCUCUAUGAAAACUAAAGAUAGGAAUGGAUUAAAUAAGAAGGCAAACAUUUGUGGUGGUAUACCGGAACUGAGCUACACAGCUCCUGCUAACCCAAAUGGGAAUCAAAAAGCUCUGUCUCUUCUAAUCUGGAUGGAAAUAUCCCCUUUCUUGCCAGAGAUCAAUUGCACUGUGUAUGACCUGGUUUCGCAGUGUCUCAUGCAGAAUGGGAGUCAUUUUUAUGACCUUGCAUGCGUUGAACUAUGAGAAAGGAAGAACAGAUACAAUGUGAAGAAAAAGAAAAAAACAAACAUCAAAUAAAAAUAUUAGCUGAAAAAGGGAGAGAGAAGAGAGAAGCUGUCAAGAUGUCUGAGGAACAAGAUGAGCUUUCUCCAGUGAUUUAAAAAGUCUGAGCUCAAUUAUAUCAUGUUUGGAAUGAACUGCAGAACACUUAUGAAAUCACUUAGUCUCCAGCUAAUACUAUGGUCCUUAAGUCAAACUGUUUUCAGGCCAGGAGUCAUCUCCUGAGGGACAAAUGCAUUGCAGGUGCUAGAGAGUCAUUCAUCCAGAGGUCUGGAAACAGGAAG